AAACACACGGAAAGGGAGUAUGAAUCAUCCCCAACAGGCAGUGAGUCAGAUGAGAUGACCCAGGUCUCCUGACACUGGUGCUGGGGGCCCAUUCACAAGGCCGGGCAUCCUGCCUACUGUUAUUUCCAAACAUUUAGUAUCGUCUGCAGCUUCAUGCCCCUUGCACCGGCUGGCUCACUUUUGAUUAAGUUGUUGGUUGUGAUACAAACAGGCAAGGGAUUCUGUCUUUUCUCCAUUCUAGAAGAACCUGAAACAUUUACAUAUUUUCCCAGGAGCUUUCAAUGUCCCAAAAUGUGGGCUUCUGAGGAAACCUUGUAAUGAGAAUUCUGAAGAGCUCCCUGACAAAAACAUAUUGGGCCAGGCCAAAAAUCCAGCUGAGUUUUUUACCUCUGUAGGUGCUGAGAAGCCUAAAAAACGGCUGUGGUGAGCUACUUCUUGUGGCAUCCAAGUAUUUUGAAACCCUGGGGAGACUUGUGAAAAGAAAGUGCUCCUGGGUCUUCCUGCAGGCCUUCCCGGGGGAAGAAGAAAAGGAACAAAUCCCUCUCUUAACUGGAUCCCUUCCCGGCUCAAUUUGGGGGAAUAUAAAAGAAAUCCAACUGGUUUUAGUCACUAAGGAUUACAAGCAACUGAAGAAGCUUUGCUGGCCAUCCUCUCCCAUCCUUUUAAAACUGUCAGUGGCAUCGCCUUCUUCGUUGCCCUGGGGGAGACAGUUUGGUGCUGUACUUCUUCAACAGAGAGACACAGAAUGCCAGCAGUGGAAGUAACAGCACCAAGAAGUUGUGGGAUCCAACCUCUUCCUGCAAGAAGAGGAAACAGAAAAGGGAGAGAAGAAAUGAUGUGUCCAAGGCCACCCAGCUCACUAGUGGUUGAGAAGAGGACCUGAGACUGAAUUUCAGGGUUAGUGUUUUUCCCCCAUACUGCACCACUUCAAAGGGGAACUCAUUUUGCA
rnacentral:lncRNA from 1 species